rnacentral:rRNA from 1 species
GCCGCGGUAAUUCCAGCUCCAAUAGCGUAUAUUAACGUUGUUGCAGUUAAAAAGCUCGUAGUUGAAGUGAGGGAGUGUGUGUUGUGAUCGAAUCGAUCGAGAGCAGUACAACCUCCCCCUUCCAAUGGGUGUAUUGGGGUAUUCAUUUACUUCAUUACUCCUUUGGUCGUUUACUGUGAGAAAAUUAGAGUGUUCAAAGCGGGCGUUUGUUUGAAUAGAUUAGCAUGGAAUAAUGAUUGAAGGCUUUCGUGUUCGAUUUGAUUGGUUUGUUCAUGGAAGCAAGGUUAAAAGGAACAGUUGGGGGUAUUCAUAUUCACUAGUUAGAGGUGAAAUUCUCGGAUUUAUGGAAGAUGAACAGGUGCGAAAGCAUUUACCAAGGAUGUUUUCAUUAAUCAAGAGCGAAGG